UCCCUCGUAUGGGUGUUCCAACUCUUUUGAAGAUCAAGUGGUAGUAGGGGUUAUUUACCCCUUCAAACCACUUCAAAGAGCCCUUUGAACUUAGGGUGGUCAGAUGCUGACUUCAAGAGGAUUGUAAUAAUGGAGUGGUAGGGCCAAGUGAGGGGAAACGGGACGACCGUUAGUCCGAGCAUCUGGGAUUCUCGCGCAAACCAAUCUCCAGAGUUUACAAGGAAUUGUUGAAAAAACAGAGAGAAAUCCGGUGACUUAAUUCAAGCUGCGAGGAAGGUGUCAGUAAACCAAAUAUUCACGAGUUACAACGUCUCUAUAUUGACAGUGUGGACUCUUCAGUCCAGCACACAACAGCUUCACUCCGGAGUCCUGCAGGUGGUUGUUACUCAGGUCCAGUUCUGUCAGUCUGCAGGAACUGGAGCUGAGGACUGAGGCCAGAGCUUCACAACCUCUCUCUGUCAGUUAUCACUCCACCUACAGAGCUUUGUUGGAGGCUUUGACCACCGGCAGCAGCCUCAGAAGAGCCUCCUCUGAAGCAGAGUAUUUCUUCAGGUCAAACACGUCCAGAUCUUUUCCUGAUGAGAGUAAGAUGAAGACCAGAGCCGACCAUUGAGCAGGAGACAGUUUACCUGUGAGAUGUCCUGAUAUUAUGGACUUUUGGAUCUCUUCAGUUACAGAAUGGUCCUUCAGUUCAUUCAGACAGUGGAACAGAUUGUCUUCUUAGGACAGUCUGAUUGGUCUGCAGGGAGAGACCCAGGAGGAAUCGGAGGAACAAGUCCAGGUGUCCAUUUGGACUCUUCAAGGCCUUGUCUACAACACUCUGAUGGAGAUCUUUUAGUUUGAAUCUGUCUUUAAAG